CGAACAAACAACGCUCGGUCUCAUUUUCAUUCCACAUAAAUCGUAGAUUGUCGUUAAAAUUAUAUCGUGAGUCUGGUGGCACCCUAAUUGAUAUCGAUUUUUCUACAAUUGCUGAAACUAAAUUUAGUGAAUUUGUUUUAAAAUAAAACCACAGCUAUGCAGCUAACCGAUCAUGGAACCCUACUCUAUCGCACCGACCCGAUUUGUUGCCAUAAACCGACGCUCUAAGCGUUUUGUUUCUGGCAACAAAUUUAAUAGAAAUUACAGUGGUUGGUAUCUUCGCGAUAGAGAUGUGUGGAAGCGACGACAACGUCUGCCAUCAGUAGUGGCGUUUUGGAGGCGUUCAGCAACUCUAACGCAGUUCCUCUGCUAUUCGGCCGACGAAGGAAUUCGGAGUUAAUCUUCGGUGACUUUCGGAAGCCACCCCCUUUCCCUGUGGUGACUUUUGCCCCAGUUGGAAGUAGCUUGUAAGGACUAUGGACGGACGAGACGAAGUAAUGUGACGAUUUCUUAAAUGUAUAACAAUAAAAUAACCUAUAGUGUAACAAA